ACGGGGGGGGCAAGCGUUGUUCGGAAUUACUGGGCGUAAAGGGGUCGUAGGUGGCUUGUUAAGUCAGACGUGAAAUCCCUCGGCUCAACCGGGGAACUGCGUCUGAGACUGAUGAGCUCGAGUGCAGGAGAGGAACGCGGAAUUCCAGGUGUAGCGGUGAAAUGCGUAGAUAUCGAGAGGAACACCUGCGGCGAAGGCGGGUUGCUGGGCUGAUACUGACGCUGAUGCGCGAAAGCGUGGGGAGCGAACAGG
rnacentral:rRNA from 1 species